GACAUUCGUUCGAUUUCAUUCAGAGUGGUUGCGUGUGCGCGUUUCGAAAAACAUAAACUUUUAAUUUAAAAUAUUGACUGUGGACAAAUAGUGGUGUAUCAUACCUCGUAGUCUUAGAUAAAAUACUUUUAUAAGAUUUUAUUAGUACAUAAAUUGUUAUUUGUUAGUGUCACUAGUGCAGUGGGAUUAAAAUCGAAAGAACUCUGACAGUAGCACAGCUUCUAAACUGGGAUUUAUAUCAAUAAACAAGCGAAGAAGUGACGUCAAAGUGUGUUUCUAAAAAUAUGAGGACGCAGUGACACAAUGUUUUGACAGUGACAUAACACAUCCAAGAUGGCGCUGAAAGUGACCAUAGUGUGUGUGCUGAGUGCGGUUGUGUGUGUGAGUGCUCACGUCGCGUUAACCUACCCUCCGGCCAGGAAGUAUGACUUGGACUUCCUGGACAAUAUCAGAACGAAACCACCAUGCGGGAUGCCUAAAGGGUCAAUACGAACUUCGUUUUUGGCAGGAUCAAAAAUCACUGUUCAUUGGCAUUUAGCGUACGCUCACAAAGGUGGAUUUAGCUUACGAAUUCUGGAUUACCUGGACAGACCACUCUUGGACCUCACGCCGCGGGCUGAGGGAUCGGAAUUCGUUCGAGAUAACAUUACCGCUCAGAGCUACGACGUGCGUCUGCCGUCGGACUUCACGUGCGAGAACUGCACGCUGCAGCUGCAGCGCGAGGCGGGGGAGUGGGGGCCCAAGUACCGCUUCUGGUCCUGCGCCGAUAUUGAUGUCGUGCAACGCAGCGACUACCACGAGACGUGCUCGGGGCGGGGUUUCCACAUCCUGGGUCGGUGCAAGUGUCACAAGCUGCACAGCGGGCCGCGCUGCCAGUUCGCCGAUGAGUGUGCCGAAGAUGCCGACUGCGGCCUGCGCGGAAAGUGCCUCGAUAUCAACGCCACGGAGUCACCCACCAAGAUGUGCUACUGCCCGCACGGGUUCUACGGCAAGGGGUGCAACAAGAAAUCACCUUGGAAGGACAAGACAAUUAACAUGGCGCUGUACAGCAAGCGCUCACUGUCGGACAAGUUCACGCUGUACUGGCGCGUCGUCAAGGAGCUGGGCGAGGCCGAGUUCGUCAUGGUGGUCAACGGCACGUCGUACGCCGCUCUCGGUUGGAGACCAAAAGGUUUGAAGAAGGAAUGCAAGAACUUCCCCGUAAUAGGUGUACCCUUAACUCCCUCAACUACCCCAGCUCCAGAACCUGUACCGGAACCGGAACCAAAGGCGGAAACAACACAAUCAGGAGAACCAAGAGCAGAACCGGAGCCUGAGCCAGAACCAAAGACAAACUCAACCAAAUCGAAGAUUCAUGACUUGCAAGUAGAAGAAUCUAAAUCGGAACCGGUCCCCGAACCUAAAUCUGAACCGGAACCCACGCCUGAACUCAAAUCGGAACCGACUCCCGAACCGGAACCUUCCGCUGAACCAAAACCAGAACCAGAACCGACAGCGGAACCUAAACCGGAGCCAGAACCCGAGCCAUCCUCGGAACCGACUACUGUAAAUCCGAAUUUUGAAAACGAUAACAGAAAUAAGAGGGUAGCGAUGCACACACUCGACGGAUUUGAUUUCAAAAACCUUGGCGAUGAUGUCACAGUCAAAACCAGCGUUUCUUUCAAAGUUUCUAGUUCUAAAGGUCGUAAAAAGCGAGCCGCUGACGACGCACCAAAUGUGGAAAUAUCAACGAUAGACCUAGGAUCCCCUCCCACUGACGUAGAAACUAAGUCUCAACCAAAGUCAAAGUUUACACCUAAGUCCUCAAAACCAAAGCCUAAAUUUACUAAGUAUAUAAGUACUACAUCCCAAAAACCUAAUUUAGAAUCUGAACCUGUGACCGAUUCGGUUCAACCACAACCGGAACCCGAACCGAGUUCGGAACCGGAACCCGAACCCGAAGUGACCGCGGAACCCGAACCAAAAUUAACUAAGUCGAAUUUACAAUCAGCUCCGAAACCCGAACCAGAACCCGAACCAGCUUCUGAACCGAAAUCAGAACCGGAACCGUCGUCAGAACCGACAACCGAACCAGAGCCAUCCCUCGAACCAAAAUCUGAACCAGAACCCUCCUCUAAGCCUGAGCCAUCUCCGGAACCCAAAUCAGAACCUGAGCCAUCUUCUGAACCUAAACCAGAACCCGAACCUUCUCCUGAGCCAAAAUCAGAACCCGAACCCAAAUCAGAACCUGAACCAUCCCCCGAACCAAAAUUGCAAACCUCCCCUGAGCCUAAAUCUGAACCAGAACCUGCGCCCGAACCCAAAUCAGAACCGGAACCUUCUCCCGAACCCUCUCUCGAUUCCACAUCAGAACCAGAUAAUCUGUCAGUAGAAGCCGACGACAAUUUGCUUGUGAAGGGUCUGAGAGAAGACACAGGCUACUUCCCCGCGCACGAGUACGCGCCGAAGCUGGACUUCAACCCCAUGGACUGCACCGACAUCGUGAUCGGCACCGCGCGCGGCAACUACCACAGGGUUCUGGACUACUACACUAGAGACAGGUCAACCCCUCGCGUGGACACGUUCUGGGGCGGGCGCGACGACGUGACGGCGGCGUCCGGCUUUGAGGAGAACGGCGUCACCACCAUCAUGUUCCGGAAGAAGAUUAAGGCGGUAGAACCAACGGACCACUCGCUAGUGGACGAGGACAUGCACGUGAUCUGGGCGGGCGGGCAGGCGCGCGGCUUCUACCGCCCCGACGAGAUCAAGUACCACGGCAGAGAGUCCAGGGGUUUGGCGCAUAUAAAUUUCUUCGAGGAAGCCAAAUCCCCGAUAGCCGGCGGCAUCACCCCGCUAGGCGGCGACCGCUGCGGCGCGCAGUUCAAGUUGCCGGCUGACUGUGACGUCACCAACAACACCUGCGACUACACAGCCAGCUGGGAGUACCUGGGGCAGAGACGGGGGAAGGACGGUGUGAGGUUCACCAUAACUACGAAGCAGAGCAAACACUGGACCGGCAUCGGGUUCAGCAAUGAUCGGAAGAUGUCUCAAACGGACGCGGUGAUCGGCUGGCUGGACCCGAAGUCGGGUCGCCCUGUCCUGCUGGACACGUGGCUCAACGGGUACGCCAUGCCGCGCCUCGACCCGCGACAGGACCUCACGCAGAUUAGCGGCUCAACCGUGGAUGGUGUUACUACACUGAGCUUCGUGAGGAAGAGGAAUACUGGGGAUCAGAAGGACCUGGCGUUCACUGACACCGGGUGCCUGUACAUGAUGUUCGUGAGUCACGGCGGCGGGUUCGACCCCGUCAACAAGAAGACCAGCAAGCACCUCCACACGCCGCACGUCACCGAGGAGAGGAUAUGCAUCAAGCCGUGCGGACCCGAACCAGCCGAAGACGAAGUAACAACAGAGCCCCCAGUCCCGGGCGGUCGCUCCUACUCCAUGCUGGUGCGUGUGGAGGGGCUGGCGGAGAGCUUCCGCCCCCCCGCACCCGACACACCCGACUUCACCACCCUGGCCGCAAGACUCGCGGGCGGGUUGGAGGGGGAGUUGAAGGGGGUGCCUGGAUUCCGGGGAAUCACUGUAAACGGGUUCAGUCAGAAUGAAACGAAGGCAAUAAUAGCCGACGUGACGCUCAAGUCGAUAGAGAUGCCGGACGAGAGCGGGCGCGCGCUGGACGACAAGUCGGACAACGUCACCGACGCGUCGGACGACCAGUCGGACGACAAGUCGGACGCCGACCUCGGCAAGUGGGAGCGCGCGGUGCGCUCGGUGCUGGCGCGCGGCUCCGUCGGCGACCUGCGAGUCGAUCCCGAGUUCCUGCUUAUUGAACCGCAAGGACUGGUCCGCUCGGUGGAGACGGAGCGCGUGGCGGAAGGCGGGUGGGGGUCGGGCGCGCGGCUGUGGGCGGUGCUGGGCAGCGUGCUGGCUCUGGCGGCGCUGGCGCUGCUGCAGGCCGCCUGCACGCUCGCCGGCGCGCGCGCCAAACGCACGGACCAACUGAUUCCGAACUCCGCGUGGAAGGAGUACGGCCCGGCGAACACCAACUACGGGUUCGAGCCGCUCGACGAGCGGUACAGCCCCCCGCACACCGCGCCACGACCCCCCGCGCGGCCCGCCGGCCCCCCGCCCCCGCGCCCCGGCAGUGCCGACGUCGACAAGCCCGCCAACGGACAUAAGGCUAACGGGCAUAAGGCUAAUGGACACAAGCAGUCAAACGGCGACGGGUACAAAACCAACGGUAGCGGGUACAAACCCAACGGUGACGGGUACAAACCCAACGGGGACGGGUACAAGCCCAACGGGGACGGGUACAAGCCCAACGGCAACGGGUACGGGUACGGCACGGGCGGGCGCGGCCGACAGUUCCCCAACAGCGCCGCGCAGUACUACCACGACACGCGCUCGCUGCAACGACCGCGGUCGCAGUAUAGCUACGACACUCCCGACGGUCGUGACGUGCGCGACGGGCGUGACGGGCGCGAGGGGCGUGACGGGCGGCGGUCGCGCGAGAUAGGGGCGGGGCGCGGCGCGAUGUCGCUGCCGCGGUCGCACGCGCAGCCCGACUUCUACUUCAUGCCGUCGCAGCGGAAACACGAGGGUGAGUUCGUGAGGGUAUAUGUGCCGGCGAGAGACAGGCCGGUGGAGUAGUCGACAACCCUACUAGAAAUUACGUAGCAAUAGUACUUACAAAGUAGGUAUACUAGAGUUACUACGGUUGUCAGCAUUAUUGGUGAUUUUUUACUGAAUAGAGCUGUAGGGUUGCCAGCAUUAUAGAAAAUACCAGCCUAAUAGAUGAAAAAUAGCGGGAAUGUUGGAAAAUUGCUGGGCGUUAGUGUCGCUACUUGCAGGACUUAGAUGCUCUUUCCUAGAGAUGUGUACUGUGUAGGUAGUCGGCGAUUUGUCGCUUGUUAUAAGUUUGCCAGUGAUUAAAGUUUAGAUUUAUAACCUCAUCAACAUAAUAAAUUUGAUCUAGUAUAGUCUACAGAUAAUACUUUAAACGUGCUGUAAGUUGUAACCAGUUUUGAUAAUGGUGUAGACUGUAGACUGUUAUGGACCUACUACGGUUAGCAGUCAUCUACGCCAAGUUUAUGUAGUACGCCAAGGUAUGUAAAUAAAAGAAUACUUUAAAUACAAAAGCUUCUCAAUAUUCCCAUAUUAAUAUCCGGGUGUAAAAUAUGUACCUAAGUUGUAUUAUAAGUACACCAUUAGGUAUGUAGGUACGUAUGUAAGUAAAUCUACAUCUAGUAUAUAAUAAUUAAUUCUUAAAUAUUGAAGGCCCUGGCUAUAAUAAUAAUAAUAAUAAUUUUCAAAUCUUAAAUAAGUUUAAAAUAGAACAUGAUGGCGCUUUAACGAUGAUAUUAAAUACAUUUUAUAAUUCACAGCCAAAUGAGCGAAUAAGAUUUUUGAUCCAGAGAGAGCACAAAAGAGAUUUAGUUACCAAAUAAUUUUUUAAAUUGUAUUUAAUGCAGUAAUUACAGCUCUAUUAUAUUCGUUGCUAAAUCAAAAUUGAGAUAUUCGGGCAUUACGUUGUAAAUAGGAAGAGAUUUUUGGACAUUUUUAUCGGUAUUUAAAUUUUAGAAAAAUAAAAAUUUAUUUAAAGGUAGUAUAAAAUAAUUUGCUUGUAUAUUAUAAAAAAGUGUUUUUGAAUUUGCAACGAUAUAACCAUAUCUAGUCUCGUGUCACAGUUUUAAACUAAGUUAAAAUAUAUCUCGAUAAUAUUAACGACAAGUUAACGGCUACUUGAACUGAUUUUACUCUGGUACUGACAAGUAAACCAUAACAGAAUCAACGAAUCUCUUAAAAUUUGACAGCUGCGUGCUGAGCUAGUUUUUGUCCAUAACUAAAAUUACUCUUGUGGUUAACGUGGUAAAUUAGUUACCAUGUUAACCACAAGAGGCGCUGUUUUGAUGCGAUAAAUACGUAGCUCUACACUUGAGUUUCCGAUUCCAUGUUAACGGUCAGCAAUGCCAAAAACUAGCACUCAGCGGGGCUAAAAUGGUCACAUUUAGCAAUUCCUCUCAAUCAAUUAUAGAUGAAAUGAUACACGAGAACUCUAAACGAUAUAGUGUUAUAUUAUUAUUGAAAGAAACAAAAA